AAACCAGCACCUCAAGUGGUCAGGAUGAUUAUUGGGCCUAAAGCAUCCGUAGCCUGCUUUGUCAGUUUUCGGUUAAAUCCAUACGCUCAACGUAUGGGCUGCCGGAAAUACUGCAAAGCUAGGGAGUGGGAGAGGUAGACGGUACUCGGGAGGAAGGGGUAAAAUCCUUUGAUCUCUCGAUGACCACCUGUGGCGAAGGCGGUCUACCAGAACACGUCCGACGGUGAGGGAUGAAAGCUGGGGGAGCAAACCGGAUUAGAAACCCGAGUAGUCC
rnacentral:rRNA from 1 species